rnacentral:rRNA from 1 species
AGAGUUUGAUCCUGGCUCAGAAUCAACGCUGGCGGCGUGCCUAACACAUGCAAGUCGAACGAGAAAGGGGAGCAAUCCCUGAGUAAAGUGGCGCACGGGUGAGUAACACGUGACUAACCUACCCUGGAGUGGGGGAUAACUGAGGGAAACCUUAGCUAAUACCGCAUAAUACCCACGGGUCAAAGGAGCAAUUCGCUCCAGGAGGGGGUCGCGGCCGAUUAGCUAGUUGGCGGGGUAACGGCCCACCAAGACGAUGAUCGGUAUCCGGCCUGAGAGGGCGCACGGACACACUGGAACUGAAACACGGUCCAGACUCCUACGGGAGGCAGCAGUGGGGAAUUUUGCGCAAUGGGGGAAACCCUGACGCAGCAACGCCGCGUGGAGGAUGAAGUCCUUCGGGACGUAAACUCCUUUCGAUCGGGACGAUUAUGACGGUACCGGAAGAAGAAGCCCCGGCUAACUUCGUGCCAGCAGCCGCGGUAAUACGAGGGGGGCGAGCGUUGUUCGGAAUUAUUGGGCGUAAAGGGUGCGUAGGCGGUUUGGUAAGUCUUGUGUGAAAUCUACAGGCUCAACUUGUAGUCUGCACGAGAAACUGCCGGGCUUGAGUGUGGGAGAGGUGAGUGGAAUUUCCGGUGUAGCGGUGAAAUGCGUAGAUAUCGGAAGGAACACCUGUGGCGAAAGCGGCUCACUGGACCACAACUGACGCUGAUGCACGAAAGCUAGGGGAGCAAACAGGAUUAGAUACCCUGGUAGUCCUAGCCCUAAACGAUGACUGCUUGGUGUGACGGGUACCCAAUCCCGCCGUGCCGUAGCUAACGCGUUAAGCAGUCCGCCUGGGGAGUACGGUCGCAAGGCUGAAACUCAAAGGAAUUGACGGGGGCCCGCACAAGCGGUGGAGCAUGUGGUUUAAUUCGACGCAACGCGAAGAACCCUUACCUG